UAGAGAGUCAAAAGUUUCUAGUUAAAUUUUGUAAUCAGACUUAACCAAUUUGUUUAGGAGUUUUAUUUUUAAAAUAAAUUAGGCUCUCACUAUUUUCUCAGAUCCCUACACUCCCUUGGUAGAGAUGUGAAAAUCUCCGUGAUCAAUGAUUUUUAGUGGGUGGUGCGGUCUCACCGACUGGCUCACCACCUCACCUAACAGUUAUUGAUGAUGGGUCAACCGAUGAGUGGACAACUCUUAUCCAAUGAUUCUCUAAUCAUGGUGCACC
rnacentral:lncRNA from 1 species